rnacentral:rRNA from 1 species
AUUGAACGCUGGCGGAAUGCUUUACACAUGCAAGUCGAACGGCAGCACGGACUUCGGUCUGGUGGCGAGUGGCGAACGGGUGAGUAAUAUAUCGGAACGUGCCCAGUCGUGGGGGAUAACGUAGUGAAAAUUACGCUAAUACCGCAUACGAUCUAAGGAUGAAAGCGGGGGAUCGCAAGACCUCGCGCGAUUGGAGCGGCCGAUAUCAGAUUAGGUAGUGGUGAGGUAAAGGCUCACCAAGCCAACGAUCUGUAGCUGGUCUGAGAGGACGACCAGCCACACUGGAACUGAGACACGGUCCAGACUCCUACGGGAGGCAGCAGU